CAAUUUUUAGCAAGCAGGUUAGCCUCUUGUCUACAAUAAGUGCUGCCACCUGAAUUUUCCAACCGUGUUUUGGUAUUCAUUUUCCUGACUGUUUUUAAAUUUAAUCGCAGAGGUAAAUGUAAACCGGUUAUCAAUGCACUUUUAAAAGACUAAAUGAGUUUCUGAAAACCAUAUCAGUUCUACUGUUCAACAGAAUUUAUUGGUAAACUGCUGCCGAUAAUUUGCGACAUUCUAUUCUUGCAUCUCUUACCGUGCUGCAUUAACUGGCACAUGUAGUCAGCUGUGUGCUAGGAACAAGUUGUGGACAGCUUGUGAACAUAACCUAAAAGCUGACACUUUACUGAUCCUUGUUUGUGUUUGCCCUGCAGUCAUUGGCUGAGCUCGCUACAACUACCACAUGGCCCCCGAGGUUAAGAAGACGUAUUGAACACUGAACAACAAAAAAGGAGAGUCUGGCUUCCAGUAGAGUAAAUUUGUGAAAUUAAUUUUAUAAACUCGUUAAAUUUUUUGUAAAAUAAAGUGAUAGACUGUCAGAAGGGUCGUAGUGGCGGAGAUGAUUAGUGCUGUGCAGCCUUCACUCAAGACAAAGCAUUUAAGCAGCAGGCUGCUAAGUGUUUAAAUCAUUUCCGAGUUUUCUCACAUUUCAGUUUUAUCAGGUUUGGCAGUCCCGGUUCCCCCACUAACUGCACUCCUUAAUUCCGCUUUCUUGUACAUAAUUCUGUCUUGUUCUAACGCUUUCAUCACUGUAUAGAAUAGAAGCGCCGGUGUCAGUUUUUGUAUAAAUAUAGUUAGGGAUACGAGCCGAGUACGAACUAACAACAUUGUAUACGUAUUUUUCAGACCCUUUUCUUGUGUAAAAAUGUAUUUUUAUGGAGUAAUUGUAACGUACGAUCAACUGACCAAUCCACAAACGACGGACGUGUGAGGGCGGCAUCCUUUCAUUCCUUACUAGGACCGUGCCAUACCUGCUGUACAGUAUUGGGUCCUUCUCGUUGUUAUUGGGUGUUUUGUAAAGAAACAAACUUUGUCAAAUAUUUUAAGGAAUAAAGUCUUUGAACUGGUUA